UCAUCGAACAAAGUCAGAGUCAAUAGUUUCGAAGACUACUUCCGGAAAGAUCUCGGAAAUGUUUAUCCUACAUAAGCCGUAAACAUAUCUAGAAGAGGGCAGCACUCUCAAAAAGCAUUCAUACUUUUUAUUGUUUUUUUCAGGGCUAGAAAAAUCUUAACUGACAAGAAACAACCUGAUGCCUUCAACCCAGAAGGUUAUUUAACAUUGUCAAAGCACCUAAGUCGAAUUCAACUUGGGAAAGGAGAAGAUGAUGCACAACUUCAACAAGUUCACGCUUAUGAUGAUGGCUAUCUCUGCCCAACGGACCCACUAUAAUGGAUUACGACUAUCAAGAUCACUUCAAAAAAUGAUACUUAAAGAAUUCCAGAGGUCUAUAUCUUGAUUGCGCCUUCUACACACUCCGUCCAGUAAGAAAAAACCAACAAAUAUGCAAUUUAGUAUCUAUAGUAGUUCUUCAAUUAGUAUAGGCCUUUUAAUUUGGAUCUAAGGCUUUAGUGGCUUUACUACUUCCAUCCCAAAUUAUUAUUCACUUACUUUAAGUUUGUGUAAAUGUUCAAAGACCGUUGGUCCAACUCAUACUUUGUGGAAGAUUAGUUUAUUCAGGAACCUCUUUUACAUUCCAUCAUUAGUAAAAGAAAGUUUUCAUGACUGCUUGCCCAAAUGAUGUCAUGAUCUCUAAGGAAGCUCCUCAAUGAGGAUUCGAAAGGUUUCUUGAAAAUUCUCAUGGCUAAAGCUUUGGUUGAAGAUCCACAAUUCCACACUAUUUGAAACUUUAUGCCAAGGUAUUAUAGCUAAUAUUAUCAUGUGUAAUUUUAAUGGUCAUCGAUUAAAUUAGUUACCACGCAACAUUGCAUAAAGAAAGAAGGAAGAUAACAUUUUAAAAAAUAGCUGCUCCUCUUGAAAAGGAAAUGUUGGAUACUAAUCCAGGGGUGAGAUGGGAUGCUGAUGCAGGACUAAAUGAAGCAAAUAGUCUUCUACAGGAAGCAAUUUCCAUUAUGAAUGCCUAAAUAUUUUCAGUUACUAUAUAGGUUUUUUGGAGGUCUACACAUAAUUAACGUGGAAAUAAAUACAUCUUUUUCUUUGUGAUCUUUAGAGGAAGUAUAAGCGACGAAUUGUCAUAUAAACUUUUUUUUCCUUAUUGUUUCUGUUUUGUGCUUUUAUUUUCUCUUUAUUAUAAUGCUUUGUAUUUAUUCCUUUAACCUGGAAUUUGGAUUUUACUUGAGUAGGGGAUCAAUUGGAAGCAACCUUUCUACCUUGACAAUGUAGGGGUAAGACUGCGUACGCACCACUCUCACCCGACCUCACUUGUGUAAUUACACUGAAUAUGUUGUUGUUAUUGUAUACCACUUCAUUAGAAAGU